rnacentral:rRNA from 1 species
GAUGAACGCUGGCGGCAUGCCUAACACAUGCAAGUCGAUCGGUAAGGCUCUUCGGAGUACCCGAGAGGCGGACGGCUGAGUAACGCGUAGGAACACACCCUGCAGUGAGGGAUAAGACACCGAAAGGUGUUCUAAUACCGCAGACGGUCUUCGGAUUAAAGCAUGUAUGCGCUGAAGGAGUGGCCUGCGUCAUAUUAGAUAGUUGGUGAGGUAAUGGCUCACCAAGUCGAUGAGGUGUAGCUGGUCUGAGAGGAUGAUCAGCCAGACUGGAACUGAGACACGGUCCAGACUCCUACGGGAGGCAGCAGUGAGGAAUACUUCACAACGAGCGAAAGCAUGAUGGAGCAAUGCCGCGUGCAGGAUGAAGGCCCUCGGGUUGUAAACUGCUUUUAUAAGAGAAGAUUAUGACGGUAACUUAUGAAUAAGCGACGGCUAACUACGUG